UAAGGAAUAUUGGUCAAUGGACGCAAGUCUGAACCAGCCAUGCCGCGUGAAGGAUGAAGGUCCUCUGGAUUGUAAACUUCUUUUAUGUGGGAAGAAAUGUCCGGAUUAUUCUGGAUUUGACGGUACCAUAGGACUAAGCACCGGCUAACUCCGUGCCAGCAGCCGCGGUAAUACGGAGGGUGCGAGCGUUAUCCGGAUUCACUGGGUUUAAAGGUGCGUAGGGUGGGGGAAUGUAAGUCAGUGGUGAAAUCUCCGGGCUUAACUCGGAAACUGCCAUUGAUACUAUGUUUCUUGAAUUUUCCGGAGGUUAGCGGAAUAUGUCAUGUAGCGGUGAAAUGCUUAGAUAUGACAUAGAACACCAAUUGCGAAGGCAGCUAACUACAGGGAUAUUGACACUGAGGCACGAAAGCGUGGGGAUCAAACAGGAUUAGAUACCCUGGUAGUCCACGCCCUAAACGAUGGAUACUCGACAUACGUGAUAGACAAUGUGUGUCUGAGCGAAAA
rnacentral:rRNA from 1 species